GACGAACGCUGGCGGCGUGCUUAACACAUGCAAGUCGAACGGAAAGGCCUCUUUCGGGGGGUACUCGAGAGGCGAACGGGUGAGUAACACGUGAGUAACCUGCCCUUGACUUUGGGAUAACUUCAGAAAACUGGGGCUAAUACCGGAUAGGAGCUCCUGCUGCAUGGUGGGGGUUGGAGAGUUUCGGGGGUUGGGGGUGGACUCGCGGCGUAUCAGCUUGUUGGUGGGGGAGUGGCUUACAAAGGCGUUGACGGGUAGCCGGCCUGAGAGGGGGACCGGCCACAUUGGGACUGAGAUACGGCCCAGACCCCUUCGGGGGGCCGCCGUUGGGAAUAUUGCACAAUGGGUCGAAGCCUGAUUCCGCAACCCCCUGGGGGGGAUUACGGCCUUCGGGUUGGAAACCGCUUUCCCUCAUGACCAAACUUUGUGUGACGGUAGUGGGUAAAGAAGCACCGGCUAACUACGUG
rnacentral:rRNA from 1 species